rfam:Brassica napus, WGS project CCCW01000000 data, contig: 10424
UUCACCCUACAAACCUCGAGUUUCCUACUUCUUCUUCCUCCAUGCUGCUCACAUCAGCAUCAUCUUCUUCCCAUUACACGCAACAUAAAUCUCCAAGACCCACAACAGUCGACACUAUCAAGAUGUCACCACUUCACGAAGAUCCUCAGGAUUCAAGAGUUAUGAUCCAUUUCUUCUAGAUUUAACCCAUAUACCUCUCAUUCAUGCAUUUGUGUUGUGUGUGUUGGUUUGAUAUUUUGGCCAC